rnacentral:misc_RNA from 1 species
GAUGAAGAACGCAGCGAAAUGCGAUACUUGGUGUGAAUUGCAGAAUCCCGCGAAUCAUCGAGUUUUUGAACGCAAGUUGCGCCCGAAGCCAUUCGGUCGAGGGCACGUCUGCCUGGGUGUCACGCAUCGUUGCCCCCCCAAACUCCGGUUCGGGCGGGGCGGAAGUUGGCCUCCCGUGCGUGCCUGCGCGCGCGGUUAGCCCAAAAGCGAGUCCUCGGCGACGAGCGCCACGACAAUCGGUGGUUUUUUUACCCUCGUUCCUCGUCGUGCGUGUCCCGUCGCCCGAACGCGCUCUUGUGACCCUCACGCGUCGCCUCGGCGGCGCUCCCAACGCGACCCCAGGUCAGGCGGGACUACCCGCUGAGUUUAAGCAUAUCAAUAAGCGGAGGA